rnacentral:pre_miRNA from 1 species
CUGCCACCUGUAUUUCUAUCACGUCAGAUGAAAGAAGUACAAGUGGUAGGG